rnacentral:lncRNA from 1 species
UGAACGAUGAUCUGCUAUGUUCGAAUUGCUCAAAUACCGCACACAAAAUCAAACAACCAGCCGAAUUCAAACAAUUAACCACAAUGCCCAUCUCAUAGAUUGAUAGAUCUCACAAAUUACAGGAGGAAUUUGGGUGUGUGAGAGAUAGAGUACAUGAGAGGAUGGAGAGGAAAGUUGGGAUAGGUACAGAGAACAGGGGGAAAGGUUCAGACUAGACUCACGCAUACAUCUCACACACGGCAUGCCAUGCUAAAAAAUACAGAGCACACACACACCCUGUCGCGUGGGUACACCAGUCAGCCUACCACACCACACUCAAGGUACACCUCUCUGUAAACCAUCAAAUUGACUGUUGUGUGCUGCACCAUCUCCUCGGUAAUCAGCUUCAGGCGACUCUGUUUUCGCACUCGGCAAAUCAAUCCCAGAAACCAUAAAUCGAUUGAAGGCGUGACACACAUGCAGAUCAAUGAAACUAACAACCAACCAGAAACCCUAAUCAAAAUUUGCAUGACAGACGAGAUUCAAACACAGGAACGGCGUAACCUCACACAUCUACACAAGAAGCUGCAGGACAUUAACACAAGCAAACAAAUCUGACCGAGAAAAACACUACGCACUAGCAUACAGAGCUGAGGAUCAAAGCAACAGGGGGGAACAUACCGAAUCGAACAAAACCGACGAGCGGCGAAAUAAUGGUGCCAAGGUGGAUGCGGGGCGGAGAGAUGCUGCAGGUCUUCGGCUGGAGAAACAACGACGAGGCGGAGGGAGCGAGGCAGUAGGAGGGAGAGCGCCGACGAGUCACCACCAACCAACGAGCGGCGAGGGGGAGGGGGAGCUCCAAAUCGCCAUGGAUAUCUCUCGCAGUUGCCUUCUGGGUUACGUGUUCGAAAUGAAAAGGGGAUCGAGCGGCGCGGGGAAGAGACAGAGGAAGGAAAGAAACAAAAACCACCGACGCGCGGCAGCGAGCGGGGGUCUGGAAAAUACAAG